rnacentral:rRNA from 1 species
AGAGUUUGAUCCUGGCUCAGGACGAACGCUGGCGGCGCGCCUAACACAUGCAAGUCGAACGAGAGAUGAAGAGCUUGCUCUUCAAAUCGAGUGGCGAACGGGUGAGUAACGCGUGAGGAACCUGCCUCAAAGAGGGGGACAACAGUUGGAAACGACUGCUAAUACCGCAUAAGCCCACGGCUCGGCAUCGAGCAGAGGGAAAAGGAGCAAUCCGCUUUGAGAUGGCCUCGCGUCCGAUUAGCUAGUUGGUGAGGUAACGGCCCACCAAGGCGACGAUCGGUAGCCGGACUGAGAGGUUGAACGGCCACAUUGGGACUGAGACACGGCCCAGACUCCUACGGGAGGCAGCAGUGGGGAAUAUUGCACAAUGGGGGAAACCCUGAUGCAGCGACGCCGCGUGGAGGAAGAAGGUCUUCGGAUUGUAAACUCCUGUUGUUGAGGAAGAUAAUGACGGUACUCAACAAGGAAGUGACGGCUAACUACGUGCCAGCAGCCGCGGUAAAACGUAGGUCACAAGCGUUGUCCGGAAUUACUGGGUGUAAAGGGAGCGCAGGCGGGAGAACAAGUUGGAAGUGAAAUCCAUGGGCUCAACCCAUGAACUGCUUUCAAAACUGUUUUUCUUGAGUAGUGCAGAGGUAGGCGGAAUUCCCGGUGUAGCGGUGGAAUGCGUAGAUAUCGGGAGGAACACCAGUGGCGAAGGCGGCCUACUGGGCACCAACUGACGCUGAGGCUCGAAAGUGUGGGUAGCAAACAGGAUUAGAUACCCUGGUAGUCCACACCGUAAACGAUGAUUACUAGGUGUUGGAGGAUUGACCCCUUCAGUGCCGCAGUUAACACAAUAAGUAAUCCACCUGGGGAGUACGACCGCAAGGUUGAAACUCAAAGGAAUUGACGGGGGCCCGCACAAGCAGUGGAGUAU